rnacentral:lncRNA from 10 species
GGGCGGGCCGGGUAAGGUCCAGCCGUAUCCGCCUCCUUCAUGUCCCGCUGUGGGAGGGGCUCUGGAGCGCCGGGACUGUGAGAUGGCCAAUGACGGUCUGACCCGUUGGGCCGGGCCAGGUCGCGGACAACGUCGACCGUUUGUUUAAGAAGCGUGGACUCUUGUCCUGAGUGCACCGAGGCUUUCAGCCUGCGGGACAGUGGUGCGAUUUGCAUUAGAGCCUAUCUCCCAGGACUAUGGAAGCCCCAUGCAGGAACAUGGUUCUGACACUUUGGGGAUUAUACCCUAAGCUUAAAGGACUGGAAAAGCCCCUGAAGUCCCGAGACCACAACCCUCCACCUUCUAAAGAUAAGACAAGUCACUGAAGGUCUCAGAACUGUGGCCCAUUCACCCCUUCCCUCAAGACAAGAGUGUGGCCAAGCAUCAAUCUCACCCCCAGAGACCAGACGGUGUCCAGGUCUUGGGCAGACGAAACCUGCUCCUUGGGGAUGGUCUUCCUGGCUGUGCUUCCAAAGGGCUGGCCUGCAAUCAGCUGGUUUUCACUUGAUCCUUUCGGGGUUUGCAUUAUAUCUGACUGAAGGAAUGAACUGGGAGAGAACAGCAGAGCCGCAGCGGAAUGUGGAAAGGCCCACGUCCAGACUGUUCCCAUUCUGAUUUAAAAGCCUGAUGAAGGAACAGCUGAACUCAGAGAAACAGCAGGCAACCUCAUGGAGACCAUGGACCCCUCUGCCAUCCCACCCAUCUUUGAACCAAUGCAAACUGUCUUCAGAACUCAUGCCCUUACAUAAACAGGCUCUACAGGCAGAUCACCUGAGGUUGAAAGGUGAAGCCACCUGGACUUCUGGGUCCAGUAGAGACUUGGAGAACUUUUCUGUCUUACAAAAGGAUUGUAAAAUGCACCAAUCAGCACUCUGUAGCUAGGAUUGUAAAACGCACCAGUGUUCUGUAGCUAGCUAGAGGUUUGUAAAAUGCACCAAUCAGUGCUCUGUAGCUAGCCAGAGGUUCGUAAAAUGCACCAAUCAGUGCUCUGUAAAAACACACCAAUCAGUGCUCCGUAGCUAGCUAGAGGUUUGUAAAAUGAACCAAUCAGCACUCUGUAAAAUGGACCAAUCAGUGCUCUGUAAAAUGGACCAAUCAGCACUCUGUAAAAUGGACCAAUCCACUCUGUAAAAUGGACCAAAUGGGAGGGGACAACUCAGGGAAUAAAAGCUGGCCACCCCAGCCCUCAGCGGUAACCUGCUUAAGUCCCCUUCCAGGCUGUGGGAGGUUUGUUCUUUCGUUCUCCACAAUAAAUCUUGCUGCUGCUCAGUCUUGGGGUCCGCAUCACCUGUAAGAGCUGUAACACUCACUGUGAAGGUCACGCUUCAUUCCUGAAAUCAGCGAGACCAUGAACCCACUGGAAGGAACAAACUCCGGACACAAGGGCAGGAGUUUGAGACCAGCCUGACCAACAGGGCGAAACACUGUGUCUACCACAAUUACAAAAAUUAGCUGGGCUUGGUGGUACGCACCUGUAGUCCCAGCUACUUGGGAGGCUGAGACAGGAGAAUUGCUUGAACCCUGGAAGCAGAGGAUGUACUGAGCCAAGAUUGUGCCACUGCACUAUAGCCUGGGCGACAGAGACUCUGUCUCAAUAAAUAAAUAAAUAAAUAAAUAAUAUAAAAAAAAAACCUCUACAAUAUUUUCCUGCUGUCCUCCUAACACUUGAACUUGGGCUAAUGCAAUUUAAGCUUCAAGUCUCCCCAGUGUCAGUGAAGUGAAGCAAUGAACAGUGCCUAAUGAGCCCUUAAAAUGUAGACCACCCAUCUACAUAGCGCCUUCUUUUCCACCCCUUUAAACAAAUGAUAGCUACUGCUGUUUGAUUUUUACAUUAAGAAGAACGUGUUGUCAAAAGUACCUAAAUCAUUUUCUCAGCUUGGUGCUUCACUUUCCCUUUAAGGAUGCAGACUAAGGAUCUUAAUUUAUGAGUUACCCACUCAAGCCUCUUUGCCACACACCUGGACCUGUUUGCAGAAUUAAAUUAUUGGCUGUGAAUCUAACAUCAAACCUCCAGAUGGCACCAGAGAACUGAGAAAAACAAUUCCAUUGCCAAGGAGCCUUUGUGUUGCUGACAAGAGAGGAGCAGGCUGAGAGAAAACGCCCUGUUUGUCACAAAGUUACAUCUGCGAGCUCCUUCAAGGAAGGGAGGUGCCUGACGCUCCUUGUUAAUGCCGGUUGCUGUUACAGACUUGCAAUUGUGCAACUCUGUGAUGUAAACAGGCAGGCUUUGUAUUUUUGCAGUGCCCCUGGAGAGUGGAGAGGGUGGUUCUCUUGGCUGUCUCUGGAACAAAUUUGGAGGAAAGGUCCUGUGAGGGUACAGUGAGAAGAUGGCCAUCUACCAGCCAGGAGGAAAGGCCUAACAAGAAACCAACUCUGCUGGCACCUUGAUCGUGAACUCCCGCCCUCUAGAACUGUGAGAAAAUAAACGUCUGUUUAAGCCACCUGGUCUGUGGUAUUUUGUUAUGGAAGCCCGAGCAGACCAAUAUGCCUACUAAGUAAGUACAAGUUCUAGAUAUCCAAGUGUUUUCUUUAUGUCAUCUCCUCGACAAAUUAAAUAUUUCAAUGUCCACAUUCUCAGAAAGAAAAGGAGUCAGUGUUUUAAUGGAUCCUGUUUAAUCUUUACUUCCCUGUAUCCUUAUUUCCGUGAAUGUGACUUCACAAAUGGAGUCAUCCUAUAUCCUACUCCCAAGGCACAAUCUGCUAAAAGCAAGAAAAAGGCUUUGCGCUGCUAAUUCACCCUUUUCUGCUCAGCAUUUGGCUCUAAACUGUAACCUGAG